CUGCCUCUUCUCUUCCUCGGCUUCCCAUUCUUCUUUUCUCAUUUGGUCUCGAUUUCCCACUCUUUUUUUCUCGACCUGGCCUCCGACGACGCCUCCCAAAGGGUUUUGGCACUGUCCCCACUGCCAUUGCCAUUAGCCAUUUAAUCCAUGGUAACCACUUUCGCUGAGAAAUCAGAAGACGAUCUUCGCAAGGAGAUCGAUGAGCUUCAGCGCCAGCAACGCGAGGCCUGAUUUUCCCUCUCUCUCACUUUUGGAUGUAUAUUGUAGCACAGUGUGUUUUCUCUUUGAUUUUCUCGGUAAAUUUUCAGAUUACUGACCACCUUUGGGAUCCUCGGGGGCUUCGCCGAGGACGCUUGCCCGGCACUGGUCCUUUUAACUUUGCCGCCAAUGGUGCUCUUUAGAAUUAUGUUGCUCAAUCUUUUUUUCAUUUUCAUUAAUCCUUAGGUGGAAGAUGGAGAGAUCACUGAGGAUGUCAAAGCAAAUGAGGACGUGAAUGAAGAUGAUUCGGUCAAGGAAGUUACUGAUGGGAAUUUGCUGCAGAGUGGUUGGUCGAGGAGAGAUGGCAAUCAAAGACCAAUGAGGAAGACUCUGCGGGCACGUGUUUAUGCCAAGACAGAAGAGAAGAAGUUGGAAUUACUGUAUCUUCGGUGGAGUGAGCACCAUAAAAAACUUUGCAAUUUUAUAAGGACUAAGACAGAGCCUCCAAUUUAUUAUUUGCCGAAGAAGCCACUGGAUGCAGAUGAAAUUGAGGCUGAGCAGCGAAAAAAAUAGGUUUUUAUUCAUCUUGUAUUUCUCUAAG